rnacentral:lncRNA from 1 species
ACCCAGGCGUCGUCACCAAGAGGCCAAGAAAGCGAGAGUCGCCUAGGGUUUUACUUGCUUCCUUUUAGCUCCCGCCGUCUCCGCGGAACCCUCGCCGCCACCGCCUCCCGCCUCGCGCAACCGGAGCCAGGAUGUUCCUCGGCGCGAUCCCGCGGCGGCCGAGCAAGGAGGCGGCGUACAAGCAGCUGCGCUCCCACCUCAUCGUCAUGGCCUCCUGCGUCGCCGCCAUCCNNN